GGCCUACCAAGGCUGCGAUGCAUAGCCGGCCUGAGAGGGUGAACGGCCACAUUGGGACUGAGACACGGCCCAGACUCCUACGGGAGGCAGCAGUGGGGAAUAUUGCACAAUGGGGGAAACCCUGAUGCAGCAACGCCGCGUGAGUGAUGACGGCCUUCGGGUUGUAAAGCUCUGUCUUCAGGGACGAUAAUGACGGUACCUGAGGAGGAAGCCACGGCUAACUAC
rnacentral:rRNA from 1 species